AUUGAACGCUGGCGGCAGGCCUAACACAUGCAAGUCGAGCGGAUGAAGGGAGCUUGCUCCUGGAUUCAGCGGCGGACGGGUGAGUAAUGCCUAGGAAUCUGCCUGGUAGUGGGGGAUAACGUCCGGAAACGGGCGCUAAUACCGCAUACGUCCUGCGGGAGAAAGUGGGGGAUCUUCGGACCUCACGCUCUCAGAUGAGCCUAGGUCGGAUUAGCUAGUUGGUGGGGUAAAGGCCUACCAAGGCGACGAUCCGUAACUGGUCUGAGAGGAUGAUAAGUCACACUGGAACUGAGACACGGUCAAGACUCCUACGGGAGGCAGCAGUGGGGAAUAUUGGACAAUGGGCGAAAGCCUGAUCCAGCCAUGCCGCGUGUGUGGAGAAGGUCUUCGGAUUGUAAAGCACUUUAAGUUGGGAGGAAGGGCAGUAAGUUAAUACCUUGCUGUUUUGACGUUACCAACAGAAGAAGCACCGGCUAACUUCGUG
rnacentral:rRNA from 1 species